rnacentral:lncRNA from 1 species
GAAUAAAAUAGAUAUUCAUAUAUUUUCAUUGAUGCCCAUUGCCCACACAACGGUUAAAUACACUUAUAUAGCCUUCUAUGAUACAUCAGAAAGAACUAAAAGAGGAAACUAAUUAAAACCCAUGAAACUAAUGCUUGAGCAUCAGCUAAGAAGAUAUCUUUAUUGAGUCCUAAAGGAGGACUAUCAUAAGUAACAAAAGUGUUAGGAGCAAG